CAUUUGUUGAAAUUAAUGCUAAAAAUUAAGCCUAUAAAAGGAAGCCUUCAGAUUUUUCAGAACUUAAACUGCUUUUUGUAAUUCUCAUCUCUUUCCUUGUUGAGUACGUUGGAACACGAUGGUAUAUAUCAAGGUAAUUUUUGUGCUUGGAAUUCUCUUUUACUCCACAGCAGAAGGAAGGCCCAAUGAUACAUCUCUCUAUAGAGUACCUGUAAGAAAACUUCAAGCAAUACUAAUUCCUGUUGCUAAUCCUUACUUAGGUAACUUUGCUGCUUGUAUUUUUGCUUUUUUCAAUGACCGAAGUGGACUCCAAUCGUACUCUUGGCCAGCUUCUUGAUGAGUUUUUUAAGUCACUUGAGAAUUAGGAAUUUUCUGCCACUUUUUCCUGAGUUCCUAUCUUUAUUCGGAAUUCUAGUAUUCUAAUAAAAGAAGCUAUUAUCUCAAGAAUAAUAUGGAAUAUUAAAUUACCUGACUAUGCUGCACGAUUACUUUGAAUAAAAUUAAUAUGUGAUAAAUAAAACUUAGUA